GAUGAACGCUGGCGGCGUGCCUAAUACAUGCAAGUCGAGCGAACAGACGAGGAGCUUGCUCCUCUGACGUUAGCGGCGGACGGGUGAGUAACACGUGGAUAACCUACCUAUAAGACUGGGAUAACUUCGGGAAACCGGAGCUAAUACCGGAUAAUAUAUUGAACCGCAUGGUUCAAUAGUGAAAGACGGUUUUGCUGUCACUUAUAGAUGGAUCCGCGCCGCAUUAGCUAGUUGGUAAGGUAACGGCUUACCAAGGCAACGAUGCGUAGCCGACCUGAGGGGGGGGUGGGCCCCCAAGGGAACAGGGACAGGGCCCACACUCGCAGGGGGGGGGGAAGAGGGGAAUUUUCCGAAAGGGGGAAACCCGUAGGAGGCAAACCCCGCGUGGGGGAGAAGGGUUUGGGGUGGGUAAAACUUUUUUUUGGGAGAAAAAAAAAUGUAAAAUUAACUGUCCUCGUUUUGGCGGCCCAAAUAAAAAAACCCGGGGAAAAACGCG
rnacentral:rRNA from 1 species